CCGCUCUAGUGAUGCAUCUUAGAUUCUCUCUGAUACUUUUAGGAAGCUUGCAAUUAACCCAAUUCAUCUGUUGCUUGUGCUGGAGUUGCUGAUGAAGCGCCAAAGGGACUCAGAAAGCUUGGAAGCGCUAUGAAAUUGAAUCUAUUGGGG